UCCUACGGGAGGCAGCAGUAGGGAAUCUUCGGCAAUGGACGAAAGUCUGACCGAGCAACGCCGCGUGAGUGAAGAAGGUUUUCGGAUCGUAAAACUCUGUUGUUAGAGAAGAACAAGGACGUUAGUAACUGAACGUCCCCUGACGGUAUCUAACCAGAAAGCCACGGCUAACUACGUGCCAGCAGCCGCGGUAAUACGUAGGUGGCAAGCGUUGUCCGGAUUUAUUGGGCGUAAAGCGAGCGCAGGCGGUUUCUUAAGUCUGAUGUGAAAGCCCCCGGCUCAACCGGGGAGGGUCAUUGGAAACUGGGAGACUUGAGUGCAGAAGAGGAGAGUGGAAUUCCAUGUGUAGCGGUGAAAUGCGUAGAUAUAUGGAGGAACACCAGUGGCGAAGGCGGCUCUCUGGUCUGUAACUGACGCUGAGGCUCGAAAGCGUGGGGAGCAAACAGGAUUAGAUACCCUGGUAGUCC
rnacentral:rRNA from 1 species